UGUUGCCAGGCUGUCAGCCAGGUCACAUGAGCAAUUUUGUGUCACAGAUGACAAGGACCUCCCUAGUGUGCCACCACUGGAGCUCAGUGUACCUGCUGACUACCCUGCCCAGAGCCCGAUGUGGGUCGACCGUCAGUGGCAAUAUGAUGCCAACCCCUUCCUGCAGUCAGUGCACCGGUGCAUGACCUCCAGGCUGCUGCAGCUCCCUGACAAGCACUCAGUCACAGCCCUGCUCAACACCUGGGCCCAGAGCAUCCACCAGGCCUGCCUCUCAGCUGCCUAGCAAACUUGAACUUCAGGACGGCCAGCAGCCCUUCUGGCUGAGGGUCUCAUACCACCUACCAAACGUCACUAGGUGUUGGCUUCUUAGAGGGCCGGGGCU
rnacentral:lncRNA from 1 species